rnacentral:misc_RNA from 1 species
AACGCACCUUGCGCCUCUUGGUACUCCGAGAGGCAUGCCUGUUUGAGUGUCUUAUGAAAUCAAUCCCCAUGGGUUUCGUUACCUCGUGGUGGACUUGGGACUUGGGUGUCUGCCGUCUGGCUCGCCUGAAAGAUGUUAGUGGGACAAGCUGCCUACGGCUCGACGUGAUAAGUUUCGUCUGGCCUGGCUCCUUAUGCCCGCUCAUAACCCGCCCCUCGGGCGACGCUUUAUGUUAGACCUCAAAUCAGGUAGGACUACCCGCUGAACUUAA